rnacentral:rRNA from 1 species
AUUGAACGCUGGCGGCAUGCCUUACACAUGCAAGUCGAACGGCAGCACGGGAGCAAUCCUGGUGGCGAGUGGCGAACGGGUGAGUAAUGUAUCGGAACGUACCUUUCAGUGGGGAUAACGUAGCGAAAGUUACGCUAAUACCGCAUAUUCUGUGAGCAGGAAAGCAGGGGAUCGCAAGACCUUGCGCUGAUUGAGCGGCCGAUAUCAGAUUAGCUAGUUGGUGAGGUAAAGGCUCACCAAGGCGACGAUCUGUAGCGGGUCUGAGAGGAUGAUCCGCCACACUGGAACUGAGACACGGUCCAGACUCCUACGGGAGGCAGCAGUGGGGAAUUUUGGACAAUGGGCGCAAGCCUGAUCCAGCCAUGCCGCGUGAGUGAAGAAGGCCUCGG